rnacentral:tRNA from 1 species
GGUGGCUCAGUGGUAGAGCGCUUGCCUUGCAUGCGUGAGGCCCUGGAUUCGAUUCCAGACCA